UGACAUGUGAUUAAUCGCGUGCUGGAUUGUUUGUUUGGGUUAACCUGGCUUGGGUGGCCUCGGCCUUCCUUUCCAGCACGCACUCAUGGCUCAUCCGUCCAUGCGAUGCCAUGUAGGAGUAGUAGGAGUAGGAGUACUGGUGGCAGUAUCUCGCUGCGAUAUCUUGUGCAUGCACACAUCAGGUGGCCCCACGGCCUGUCAUUAUUGCCAAAAACUCUUGUCUUUGAUUGAGAUGGGGAGAGAGGUGUGCGCCAGUGCUUGUUCUGUGUGUCCAGUUGUUGUUUUUGGUCAGUAAAAUCUGGUGUCCCUGUCGCCGUCGUGACGUAGCACCGCCAGGCUGUUCUCCAAGUUGCCAGACAACUGGAUUUGCACGCUACGUGCGCCGGGCACAAGCGGCGGGGCUGGGUAGGCCGCCCGUGCUCGCGCUGUGAACCUUGGGCGGGGCGGUGGAACUCCGGUGGGCAGAAACGGCGAAUGAUGGUUUGAUGAUCGUCGGCUUCAGAUUUGAUCUAUGGUUCAAGUAGGCAAAAAGCGUGGAGAUGGAAAAAGAUAAUGAUUAAGCAUGGCGGAGAAGUUCGUGUUUAGUCAUCUCGUCCUAUUUCGCCGUUUGUGGCAUAUUAUACCUUUUUAUUCUUUUUUUUAACUCUGAGCGAGCUUGUUUGGGAUCACAGACUUUUCGGUCACUUUGAUAAAUAAAG
rnacentral:lncRNA from 1 species